GCCUGAUGCAGCAACGCCGCGUGAGGGACGACGGCCUUCGGGUUGUAAACCUCUUUUAGCAGGGAAGAAGCGAAAGUGACGGUACCUGCAGAAAAAGCACCGGCUAACUACGUGCCAGCAGCCGCGGUAAUACGUAGGGUGCAAGCGUUAUCCGGAAUUAUUGGGCGUAAAGAGCUCGUAGGCGGUUUGUCGCGUCUGCUGUGAAAACUGGGGGCUCAACCCCCAGCCUGCAGUGGGUACGGGCAGACUAGAGUGCGGUAGGGGAGAUUGGAAUUCCUGGUGUAGCGGUGGAAUGCGCAGAUAUCAGGAGGAACACCGAUGGCGAAGGCAGAUCUCUGGGCCGUAACUGACGCUGAGGAGCGAAAGGGUGGGGAGCAAACAGGCUUAGAUACCCUGGUAGUCCACCCCGUAAACGUUGGGAACUAGUUGUGGGGUCCAUUCCACGGAUUCCGUGACGCAGCUAACGCAUUAAGUUCCCCGCCUGGGGAGUACGGCCGCAAGGCUAAAACUCAAAGGAAUUGACGGGGACCCGCACAAGCGGCGGAGCAUGCGGAUUAAUUCGAUGCAACGCGAAGAACCUUACCAAGGCUUGACAUAUACGAGAACGCUGCAGAAAUGUAGAACUCUUUGGACACUC
rnacentral:rRNA from 1 species